CACCGAGAUGCACCCAGGGCCUAUUAGGUCCUCUCUGGCUCUCUUCUGUGGGUCCUUCUCAGAGCCUCGGACUGCCCGCAAAAAAGGACUGACCUGUUGGCAGGAAAUGCUGUCUAAUUCCUAACUCGAGUCCCUUCAGUCUUAGUUCAACGUUAGCAGAAGCUGAGGUCACAUGAAGCCCUGCUGACUCUGUCCUUCUCUGAGCCCCCACUACCCCGACCCAUCUUCAGACAAGCUCUGGCAGGCACGCUCGGUCCCAGGAGGAAUCUUGCAUCUGGUAAGCGCUGUGCCAAAGCAGGAGGACCUCGGCGGUGGCAAGUAACUUGAAGGCUUCUUCGUGUCCUCCUCCUGGACUCGACAGCUGGACAAGAGGCUCUCAGUAUGCUGUGGCUUCCGAGGGGGUCCCAUCCCUGCAUUGCUCGGCUGGACAUGGAAGAUGCUCAGUGUCGCCAACUCUCCCGCCAAAGCAAGCCCUGCAGGGCCGCACACUGACUCAGGGUCAGCACUCCAGACCCUCCUGGGACAGCUUCUGAGAGCAACGAAUGAGAAGUACGGGGAUUCCUGCUACCUCCCAGACAGAGCCCAAAGGCUGCCUGGUGCAGAAGCGUCUUUCUCUCUCUCCCCAAGGCAGUGGGCUCUGCAGAUGUUUCCCAAUAAUGACUACCUUAAUCUCUGGAUCUCUGACAUCAACAUGUAGCCAUGUAGAAUCUUAUCCGACCUGUCUUUGCCCGUAAAAGAGAACAAUAGAAGAGCAUAGAUGUGCAAGUGCGUGUGUCUGUGAGUGUGUGCGUGUAUGUCUGUGUGUGUGUGUAUGUGUGUGUGUGUGCAGGGGAGGUGGGAUACCUAAAUCUACCUUCAUGGAUUUAAUUUAAA